UGGGGAAUACUGCACAAUGGGCGAAAGCCUGAUGCAGCAACGCCGCGUGAGUGAUGAAGGCCUUCGGGUUGUAAAGCUCUGUCUUCUGGGACGAUAAUGACGGUACCAGAGGAGGAAGCCACGGCUAACUACGUGCCAGCAGCCGCGGUAAUACGUAGGUGGCAAGCGUUGUCCGGAUUUACUGGGCGUAAAGGAUGCGUAGGCGGAUGCUUAAGUCAGAUGUGAAAUUCCCGGGCUUAACUUGGGAACUGCAUUUGAAACUGGGUAUCUAGAGUGCGGGAGAGGAAAGUGGAAUUCCUGGUGUAGCGGUGAAAUGCGUAGAGAUUAGGAAGAACACCAGUGGCGAAGGCGACUUUCUGGACCGUAACUGACGCUGAGGCAUGAAAGCGUGGGGAGCAAACA
rnacentral:rRNA from 1 species